CCUACGGGGGACAGCAGUGGGGAAUAUUGCACAAUGGGGGAAACCCUGAUGCAGCGACGCCGCGUGAGCGAAGAAGUCUCUCGGUAUGUAAAGCUCUAUCAGCAGGGAAGAAAAUGACGGUACCUGAGUACGAAGCUCCGGCUAAAUCCGUGCCAGCAGCCGCGGUAAUACGUAGGGAGCAAGCGUUAUCCGGAUUUACUGGGCGUAAGGGGAGCGUAGGCGGCGUGCCAAGUCUGAUGUGAAAUACCGGGGCUCAACCCCGGGGCUGCAUUGGAAACUGGCAGGCUGGAGUGCCGGAGAGGCAGGCGGAAUUCCUGGUGUAGCGGUGAAAUGCGUAGAUAUUAGACGGAACACCAGUGGCGAAGGCAGCCUGCUGGACGGUGACUGACGCUGAGGCUCGAAAGCGUGGGGAGCAAACAGGAUUAGAUACCCUGGUAGUC
rnacentral:rRNA from 1 species